AAUAUUGCACAAUGGGCGCAAGCCUGAUGCAGCGACGCCGCGUGGGGGAUGACGGCCUUCGGGCUGUAAACUCCUUUCGCUAGGGACGAAGCCACUUGUGGUGACGGUACCUGGAGAAGAAGCACCGGCUAACUACGUGCCAGCAGCCGCGGUAAUACGUAGGGUGCGAGCGUUGUCCGGAAUUACUGGGCGUAAAGAGCUCGUAGGUGGUUUGUCGCGUCGUCUGUGAAAUCCCGGGGCUUAACUUCGGGCGUGCAGGCGAUACGGGCAUAACUUGAGUGCUGUAGGGGAGACUGGAAUUCCUGGUGUAGCGGUGAAAUGCGCAGAUAUCAGGAGGAACACCAAUGGCGAAGGCAGGUCUCUGGGCAGUAACUGACGCUGAGGAGCGAAAGCAUGGGUAGCGAACAGG
rnacentral:rRNA from 1 species